UUUAUGGAGAGUUUGAUCCUGGCUCAGGAUGAACGCUGGCGGCGUGCCUAAUACAUGCAAGUCGAGCGAACAGAUGAGAAGCUUGAUUCUCUG
rnacentral:rRNA from 1 species